ensembl:lncRNA
GGGGUACCGUCCUGUAGGCAGGGCUGUGUGUGCCCCCCGUGUGUGCUUGGUGAGCUGUGUUCUGAGAGACCCCCUGUACUCAGGUGGGAAUGUGGCCCCGGCCUUUCAGAGGCGCGGGGCCGUGAGAUGCGGGGUGGGGCUUGCGCCCUCCCUGGAAUCGGGGCUGGGAUCCCGACUGCGGCCUUUGGCCGUGCCGCCCCGCUGCCUGGCUGCUGAGAGUUGCUCCUGCCGCUGGGGGGGAAACCGAGCUCUGUGGCUCCAGGGGUGUUGUCCACCCGCCUGUAAUCAGGGUCUGGGUGCGCGAGCGUUUGUGCUCUGCUGGCAGCCUGUGUGGGGUGACCGCCCCGCUAGCGGGGUGUGGGUCGAGGUGCCCCGGACUGGGAGAGAAGGAGCCUCCCUCGGCCGUAGGGAUGGGGGCUGCCCUGUAAGUCAGGGAGCAUCUGUGUCCCGGAGUCCCAGGCCCUUUUCAAUGGCAGCAGUGGCCGGGGGUCCCCUGUAAGCAGGGAAGCUGACUCUUUGGCUGCUGCUUUUUGUGUGCCCAGCCCCAUUUGCCCAGUCUGCCCGCCUCUGUGAUCCCCCGCAGCACUGGCUGGAAGUCCGCCGCGUGUCAGUGAGGAGCUGCUGCAGAAGGAAGAAGAAGAAGCGGUGUGGGGACCUGGGAGGCAGGAGCAAGCAAGAAGAGGAAGCGGAAGCGUGCAGAUGCGGGGGGGAAGGAGAGAGGCUCCCUGGGCAAAGCACCUGUCCCGUUAGCAGGGGCACAGUCACGUUUGAGUUGAGAGCUGCCGGCGCCUUUGGUGACCAGGCUGGCGUUGUGCUGGGCGACCUCCCCGUAAGCGGGGCUCGGGUCUUUGCUGUAGUUGGCCUUUUGCCUUGCUGCUCCUAGGGCUGCCUGGGGAGCGUGGCCCCCUGUAACGGAGGGCGAGAGCCACCUCUCCGCACCUGAGUGGGAAAUGGAGCUCGCCGGACCCCGAGGCCACCCUGUAAGCAGGGUAGUGCCGUUUCCCUGCCCCUCUUCCUCCCCCGGCCCCUCGGCAUCGUUGCCUGAUGGUGGCUUGUCAAUGCGACGGCCCCGUACUCGGGGUGUGUGUCCCAAGCUUUGGAGCCCUCUGUCCCUGAGCAGCCUGCCCGCCCUGUAAUCAGGUGUGGGGAGGCUGCAGCGUUGCAGCCGGCUGCUUUAGCCAUCCAGCUGGUGGGAGUGACCCCUCCCUGUCCCGUCAGAGGGUGCAGGUUGAGGUGCUGUUUGUGUGUGGGGUGACCUCCCCGCUCGGUGGGUCGAGGUA